UUCUGCUUCUCCACCUCAACACCACAUAACCCGGAAAAAAAAUAAAAUAAAAAAGCAGCAAGGAAAACGCUAACAUCCAAAUGGCAGCAGCGGCAGCCUCUUCUCUAACAACACCAAAACUCACCUCCCCAUCUCUCCAAUCCCUCUACAGAAAACUCCCCCUUUCCUUUCCUCUCUCCCCCUCCUCCUCCUUCCUCCCUCUCCCCAAAACCCUAACGACCACCACCACUUCCCUCUCCUCCCGCCGCCCUCUCUCUCACCACCACCGCCGCCAUCUCACUACUCGUGCGGAGGCCGAGAACGGCGCUGAACCUUCCCGCCACUAUGACUUCGACCUCUUCACUAUCGGUGCUGGCAGUGGAGGCGUCCGCGCUUCUCGCUUCGCAGCCAAUUUCGGCGCUUCUGUUGCCGUGUGUGAGCUUCCGUUCUCAACUAUCUCUUCGGAGACAACCGGAGGCGUAGGCGGCACGUGUGUGCUUCGUGGAUGUGUACCGAAGAAACUGCUUGUUUAUGCGUCGAAAUAUGCUCAUGAAUUUGAUGAGAGUCGGGGUUUUGGAUGGAAGUAUGACAACGAACCACUUCAUGAUUGGAAUACUUUGAUGGCUAACAAAAAUGCUGAGUUGCAGCGCCUGACCAGUAUUUAUAGAAACAUUCUCAAUAACGCUGGUGUCACUUUAAUUGAAGGCCGCGGGAAGAUUGUCGAUCCACACACAGUUGAUGUUGAUGGAAAGCUCUAUUCUGCACGGCACAUACUUAUUUCUGUUGGAGGACGCCCGUUCAUUCCUGACAUUCCUGGGAGUGAAUACGCGAUUGAUUCUGACGCUGCACUUGAUUUGCCAUCUAAGCCAGAGAAAAUCGCCAUAGUUGGUGGAGGGUAUAUUGCGUUAGAAUUUGCUGGAAUUUUCAAUGGCUUGAAGAGCGAUGUUCAUGUAUUUAUAAGACAGAAAAAAGUAUUAAGGGGAUUUGAUGAAGAGAUCAGAGAUUUUGUUGCAGAACAGAUGUCUCUAAGAGGAAUUGAGUUCCAUACAGAGGAGUCACCUCAGGCUAUUUUUAAGUCAGCUGAUGGUUCAUUGUCACUGAAGACCAACAAAGGAACAGUUGAAGGCUUCUCACAUGUCAUGUUUGCCACUGGACGUCGGCCUAAUACAAAGAACUUGGGACUGGAGAGUGUGGGGGUAAAAAUGACCAACAAUGGAGCAAUUGAGGUUGAUGAAUACUCGUGCACCUCAGUUCCUUCCAUUUGGGCAGUGGGAGAUGUUACAGAUAGGAUAAAUUUGACUCCUGUUGCUUUGAUGGAAGGUGGGGCAUUGGCAAAAACUCUCUUUCAGAAUGAGCCAACAAAACCUGAUUAUAGAGCUGUUCCAUCUGCUGUGUUUUCUCAGCCUCCAAUUGGACAAGUUGGUCUUACGGAAGAACAGGCUAAAAAAGAGUAUGGUGAUAUUGAUGUCUUCACAGCUAAUUUCAGGCCUUUGAAGGCUACUCUCUCAGGGCUUCCAGAUCGGGUCUUCAUGAAACUAAUAGUCUGUGCUAAGACAAACAAAGUUCUUGGGUUGAACAUGUGUGGAGAAGAUUCACCUGAAAUCGUGCAGGGAUUUGCAGUUGCAAUCAAAGCUGGCUUGACCAAGGCAGACUUUGAUUCCACAGUGGGUAUUCACCCAACAGCAGCUGAGGAAUUUGUUACAAUGAGGACUCCUAGUAGAAAGAUUCGAGAGCAUCCUGCAGCUGAGGGGAAGGCAGGUCAUGAUGUUAAAGCAGCAGCAGGGGUUUAGCGUGGGUUUACUUCGUCAUGAUAGCCCUUUCAAGGCAUUUUUUGGAGUCUAAUGUAGGGUUACUCGGUAGUUAGUAGAUGCAAGUGAAGACGAAACUGCAUUACUGAAUAUCUCAACCAACUGGGCAGGCAGUCACUCCGGAAAAUAGCUGGCAAAAUAUCUGCUUGUAGAGUAGCCAAGGAAUGUUCGGAUGUUGAUAUCGGAUUACAGGCAUCAUUUGAAGCGUAAAUGGUGGAAGUUCAUGUUGGGGUCAUUGGUGAACAUAAGCAAACCAUUAAAGAGCUUUCCAAAGGAAUAAUAAUAAUCAUAAGGCAUUGUAAUUUUUGCUCUUACAAAUGUGGAAAUGAGUGGGGAAUUGCAAUAAUAUGCAUGUUAGGAAUA